UACGAAGGGGGCUAGCGUUGCUCGGAAUCACUGGGCGUAAAGGGUGCGUAGGCGGGUCUUUAAGUCAGGGGUGAAAUCCUGGAGCUCAACUCCAGAACUGCCUUUGAUACUGAAGAUCUUGAGUUCGGGAGAGGUGAGUGGAACUGCGAGUGUAGAGGUGAAAUUCGUAGAUAUCUGGAGGAAUACCGGUGGCGAAGGCGGCAUCCUGGACCGGCAUUGACGCUGAGGAGCGAAAGCCAGGGGAGCAAACGGG
rnacentral:rRNA from 1 species